CAGUAGCCGCGGUAAUACGAAGGGGGCUAGCGUUGCUCGGAAUUACUGGGCGUAAAGGGAGCGUAGGCGGACAUUUAAGUCAGGGGUGAAAUCCCAGAGCUCAACUCUGGAACUGCCUUUGAUACUGGGUGUCUUGAGUGUGAUAGAGGUAUGUGGAACUCCGAGUGUAGAGGUGAAAUUCGUAGAUAUUCGGAAGAACACCAGUGGCGAAGGCGACAUACUGGAUCAUUACUGACGCUGAGGCUCGAAAGCGUGGGGAGCAAACAGGAUUAGAUACCCGGGUAGUCCCUGUCUCUUAUAU
rnacentral:rRNA from 1 species